GAUGAACGCUGGCGGUGUGUCUAAUACAUGCAAGUCGAGCGGUCCCGCUUGCGGGACAGCGGCAGACGGGUGAGUAACGCGUUGAUAUCUACCCCAGAGUGAGGGAUAACCCCGUGAAAGCGGGACUAAUACCGCAUAAUCUCGAAAGAGGAAAGCCUUCGGGCGCUUUGGGAAGGGUCUGCGUGGUAUCAGCUAGUUGGUGAGGUAAAAGCUCACCAAGGCUAUGACGCCUAACUGGUCUGAGAGGACGACCAGUCACAAGGGAACGUGAGACACGGUCCCUACUCCUACGGGAGGCAGCAGUCGAGAAUCUUCCGCAAUGGGCGAAAGCCUGACGGAGCGACACCGCGUGGGGGAUGAAGGCCUUCGGGUUGUAAACUCCUUUUCUGGGGGAAAAAGUUCUGAUGGUACCUCAGGAAUAAGCACCGCUAAC
rnacentral:rRNA from 1 species